rnacentral:rRNA from 1 species
AGAGUUUGAUCCUGGCUCAGGAUGAACGCUGGCGGCGUGCCUAACACAUGCAAGUCGAACGGACUCAUAUUGAAACCUAGUGAUUUAUGAGUUAGUGGCGGACGGGUGAGUAACGCGUGGAAAACCUGCCGUAUACCGGGGGAUAACACUUAGAAAUAGGUGCUAAUACCGCAUAAGCGCACAGCUUCGCAUGAAGCAGUGUGAAAAACUCCGGUGGUAUACGAUGGUUCCGCGUCUGAUUAGCUAGUUGGCGGGGUAACGGCCCACCAAGGCAGCGAUCAGUAGCCGGCCUGAGAGGGUGAACGGCCACAUUGGGACUGAGACACGGCCCAAACUCCUACGGGAGGCAGCAGUGGGGAAUCUUGCGCAAUGGGCGAAAGCCUGACGCAGCGACGCCGCGUGCGGGAUGACGGCCUUCGGGUUGUAAACCGCUUUCAGCAGGGACGAGGCCGCAAGGUGACGGUACCUGCAGAAGAAGCCCCGGCUAACUACGUGCCAGCAGCCGCGGUAAUACGUAGGGGGCGAGCGUUAUCCGGAUUCAUUGGGCGUAAAGCGCGCGUAGGCGGCCAGUUAGGUCGGGAGUCAAAUUUCGGGGCUCAACCCCGUCUCGCUCCCGAUACCGGCUGGCUUGAGUGUGGUAGGGGAAGGCGGAAUUCCCGGUGUAGCGGUGGAAUGCGCAGAUAUCGGGAAGAACACCGGUGGCGAAGGCGGCCUUCUGGGCCAUCACUGACGCUGAGGCGCGAAAGCUAGGGGAGCAAACAGGAUUAGAUACCCUGGUAGUCCUAGCCGUAAACGAUGAACGCUAGGUGUGGGGCGAUGUCGCUCCGUGCCGCAGCUAACGCAUUAAGCGUCCCGCCUGGGGAGUACGGCCGCAAGGCUAAAACUCAAAGGAAUUGACGGGGGCCCGCACUAGCGGAGGAACAUGUGGUUUAAUUCGAUGAUACGCGAGGAACCUUACCCGGGCUCAAACGCAGGAGGGAUGUUUUUGAAAGGAGGCAGCCAGCAAUGGUCUCCUGCGAGGUGCUGCAUGGUUGUCGUCAGCUCGUGCCGUGAGGUGUCGGCUUAAGUGCCAUAACGAGCGCAACCCCUACCUACAGUUGCCAUCGCGUGAUGGCGGGCACUCUGUGGGGACUGCCUGCGCAAGCAGUGAGGAAGGCGGGGAUGACGUCAAAUCAGCACGGCCCUUACGUCCGGGGCGACACACGUGUUACAAUGGCAGGUACAGCGGGAAGCCACCCGGCGACGGGGCGCGGAACCCGAAAACCUGUCUCAGUUCGGAUUGGAGUCUGCAACCCGACUCCAUGAAGCUGGAUUCGCUAGUAAUCGCGCAUCAGCCACGGCGCGGUGAAUACGUUCCCGGGCCUUGCACACACCGCCCGUCAAG